AUGAUUUUCCAGUUCAUAAGCGUGAUGACUGGGUUCUCAUGUGCUUGUGUAAUAUGUGCCUCCCUCUAAAUCUUGUUACGAUGUGGACACAUUAGCCAUCUGACG